rnacentral:rRNA from 1 species
UACGUAGGGUGCAAGCGUUAAUCGGAAUUACUGGGCGUAAAGCGUGCGCAGGCGGUUUUGUAAGUUUGUCGUGAAAGCCCCGGGCUCAACCCGGGAAUAGCGCUUGAGACUGGGGGGCUUGAGUUCGGGAGAGGAGAGUGGAAUUCCCAGUGUAGAGGUGAAAUUCGUAGAUAUUGGGAAGAACACCGGUGGCGAAGGCGGCUCUCUGGACCGACACUGACGCUGAGGCGCGAAAGCGUGGGGAGCAAACAGG